UAGGAUGUCUUGUCCAACCUUCAAACCACUAAAUUGGUCGAUGGUGCUGAAGAAUUUUGUUACUCUUGGUAUUUCCCAAUCAUUGAGGUGUCUCCUGAACACAAAAUUCCACCCUUGAGGUGUCCACAAUUCUGCUAUUGUGCUCUGUUGAUGUAAAACUAAGUUAUAAAUAUCUAGGAAUAAUGUCUCCAUGUUGCCUGUUUUAUGCCAAUCAUCCUUCCAGAAGACAGUUUUAACUCCAUCUGCCACUUUGACUAUGGUAUUAACUUUGAAUUCAUUCCACAAAAUUCUGAUAGAUUUCCAUAAGCUAACACCAUAAGGAGUAGUGACCUCCUUUGUCAUCCAAUUAUCGUUCUCCUCAUAUUUAGCUUUAAUGACUCUAACCCAUAGACUUCGAUUUUCAUUUGAAUAUUUCCAUAGCCAUCUCAUUCUAAAAGCUUUACUCUGAUUCUUCAGAUUUUNNNNNNNNNNNNNNNNNNNNNNNNNNNNNNNNNNNAGCUACUUUGUGUGGGAUUUUGGCUUUCCAAAUGUGUUUCCAAGGCCAUCGAAGUAUCUGCUGGUUUGGUUGGUUUAUCUUCCUGUAGGCUGCAUUUACUUUAAAAGUCCCGUUACUAUUUCCCUGCCACUGUAGGAUGUCUUGUCCAACCUUCAAACCACUAAAUUGGUCGAUGGUGCUGAAGAAUUUUGUUACUCUUGGUAUUUCCCAAUCAUUGAGGUGUCUCCUGAACACAAAAUUCCACCCUUGAGGUGUCCACAAUUCUGCUAUUGUGCUCUGUUGAUGUAAAACUAAGUUAUAAAUAUCUAGGAAUAAUGUCUCCAUGUUGCCUGUUUUAUGCCAAUCAUCCUUCCAGAAGACAGUUUUAACUCCAUCUGCCACUUUCACUAUGGUAUUAACUUUGAAUUCAUUCCACAAAAUUCUGAUAGAUUUCCAUAAGCUAACACCAUAAGGAGUAGUGACCUCCUUUGUCAUCCAAUUAUCGUUCUCCUCAUAUUUAGCUUUAAUGACUCUAACCCAUAGACUUCGAUUUUCGUUUGAAUAUUUCCAUAGCCAUCUCAUUCUAAAAGCUUUACUCUGAUUCUUCAGAUUUUAUCUUUCCAUUUUUCUUGAAUUGCUUCUUUCUUUUUCUUUUUGUAAAUCACAAUGACUUAUUCUUUUUCACAUGUGCAUCUCCUUUUGCUACCUUUUUUUUUAACCAAGGAAUCCGUCUGUGACCCGCCCUUUGGACCAAUCACAGCCUUCUAAACUCGGUGGAUAAUGGGACCGCCCCUCUACCCUUCUCCACUUAAAUACCGGGAUUUGCUUUGCAUGGUGUGGGGCUUGAACCUGCGACCUAAGCCACAAAUCCUCCACCUUUUGCUACCUUUGCCUCUGAUAUUUUUUAUUUCACUUCUGUUAUCUCUUGUUGUCAAGGAUCUUUUUGCUUCUUGGUGUUUUCUGCUUCUUCUAUUAUCCAACUCUUGAUUUAAGCUAAUUGUUCAGUAAAUUAACUUGAUUGAAACUACUUAUCAGUACAGUAGCAACAGCAAUUAACCAAGAAAUUCUAAGCUGGUAAAAUUUUAAUUCUUUUUUUUUGGUUGACUUAUUGAAAACUGAAAAUCAACUUCACAAUUGAAGUUAUCUUCAUCUUUAUGAAGGUUUGUUUAAAAUUACUUUUUUACUCCCUUUGUUUUAUUUCAUGUGUCUUAGUUUGACUGAACACAGAGGUUAAUGUACCAAAAUGUUCUUUGAAUCUUGUGGUCCUAAACUAAAGAUUUGUAUAAUGUACCAAAAUGCUCUUUAAAUCUUGUGGUCCUAAACAUGCUAUGUGGAAUGUUUGAAUUAAGGAAUUGAGAAAAUGGCCAAAUGACCCC
rnacentral:lncRNA from 1 species